UACGUAGGGGGCGAGCGUUAUCCGGAUUUAUUGGGUGUAAAGGGUGCGUAGACGGAACGUUAAGUUGGUUGUGAAAUCCCCGGGCUCAACUUGGGAACUGCAACCAAAACUGGCGAUCUAGAGUAUAGGAGAGGAAAGUGGAAUUCCUAGUGUAGCGGUGGAAUGCGUAGAGAUUAGGAGGAACACCAGUGGCGAAGGCGACUUUCUGGACUAAAACUGACGUUGAGGCACGAAAGUGUGGGGAGCAAAC
rnacentral:rRNA from 1 species